rnacentral:rRNA from 1 species
CAGCCGCCACGGUAAUACGAAGGUCCCGAGCGUUGUUCGGAAUCACUGGGCGUGAAGGGAGCGUAGGCGGCGUGGUAAGUCAGAUGUGAAAUCCCGGGGCUCAACCCCGGAACUGCAUCCGAUACUGCCAUGCUAGAGGAUUGGAGAGGUAGCUGGAAUUCUUGGUGUAGCAGUGAAAUGCGUGGAGAUCAAGAGGAACACUCGUGGCGAAAGCGAGCUACUGGACAAUAACUGACGCUGAGGCUCGAAGGCCAGGGUAGCGAAAGGGAUUAGAUACCCCGGUAGUCCCUGUCUCUUAUAC